rnacentral:lncRNA from 1 species
AUCAAAUACAUAAAACUAACAGCUAUUACAAGCAUUCAUUUUCAUUCAAUUAGCACAACUCAGUUUCAGUUACAUUUUACUUCCAAAUUACAAUCUAAUUAUUACAUCAUUUAAUUUAUAAGUUGAUACAUUUUGAUUCUUGCCUUCUAGUCCCCUAAGCUAGACUGCCUCAGGGUACUGCUACCUCGGUCUCUGUGGUAGGGCGCUAUCUACUGAGCUACGCCCUCGCCUCGCGCCACCGCGCUGA